UGAACAGGAGGACAAGGAUUUUCUCUCUGUACUGAGGGUUAAUUCUGGGCCCAAGAUAAAUAAUUUACUUAAAGUCAUACAGCAAGACUGUUACCUGAUUAUACCAAGGGAGGGAACCCACAGAGGAUAAGGAGAGUUAAGUUCAUGGGACACUGGAGGUCAGUCUCACGCUCAAAAAUCACUCUCGCCUUCCCAGUACACCACAGGAUCUUAUCUGUCAGGCAGUGCUUUUCUUUACACCAGGACUCAGUUUUCUUUCCAGGAAAAUGGGCAUGAGGAUACACAUCACUCAUCAAGGGGAAGGCAUUCGGGAUUGUGUCCCAAAGCCCUAGAGAGAUCACCAAUUCUACCCCAGAAGUUCCAAAGGGGAAAAGGAUGGAGCUGUCCUUGCGAGAAUAGGGUGCCAUGGUGACAGGAUCCUUGACAACUGGGAGUGGGGAGCAGGCUGGGCCCAGAGGUGCCCUCAGGCAGAGUCCUGAGGGAAAAUGAGUGGAGGGAAGGAGAGGGGUCAGCCUGGCCUCAUCAGCUCUUCUCAGCUGUCAAGAGAUCCACUCCCCAGUUUUAGUCAUAGAUGGGCAGAGGGGGCCAAAACCAAAGGGCCUCAUG